UACGUAGGGUGCGAGCGUGUCCGGAAUUAUUGGGCGUAAAGAGCUUGUAGGCGGUUUGUCGCGUCUGCUGUGAAAAUCCGGGGCUCAACCCCGGACUUGCAGUGGGUACGGGCAGACUAGAGUGUGGUAGGGGAGACUGGAAUUCCUGGUGUAGCGGUGAAAUGCGCAGAUAUCAGGAGGAACACCGAUGGCGAAGGCAGGUCUCUGGGCCACUACUGACGCUGAGAAGCGAAAGCAUGGGGAGCGAACAGG
rnacentral:rRNA from 1 species